UACGAAGGGUGCAAGCGUUACCGUCGAAUUACUGGGCGUAAAGCGUGCGUAGGUGGUUUGUUAAGUCUGUUGUGAAAGCCCCGGGCUCAACCUGGGAAUGGCAAUGGAUACUGGCAAGCUAGAGUGCGGUAGAGGGUAGUGGAAUUCCCGGUGUAGCGGUGAAAUGCGUAGAGAUCGGGAGGAACACCAGUGGCGAAAGGCGGCUACCUGGACCAGCACUGACACUGAGGCACGAAAGCGUGGGGAGCAAACAGG
rnacentral:rRNA from 1 species